rnacentral:tRNA from 1 species
UGCCGCUGUGGCGGAAUUGGCAGACGCACUUGACUCAAAAUCAAGCGGUUAACAGCCGUGCCGGUUCGAGUCCGGCCAGCGGCAUCC